rnacentral:sRNA from 1 species
GCAGAUGCCCGGGCCCCCGGCGGGAAGGUACGGCGUUGGGACCAGGGCCUGGAGAAGCCCCGCCUUGACUACUCUGAGUUCUUCACGGAGGACGUGGGCCAGCUGCCUGGCCUGACCAUCUGGCAGAUAGAGAACUUCGUGCCUGUGCUGGUGGAGGAAGCCUUCCACGGCAAGUUCUACGAGGCUGACUGCUACAUUGUGCUCAAGGUGAGGGCCGGGCAUGCUGUUAGGGGCCAUGUGGCCUGGUGCCUUCCUCUAAGAUGGCUCGGUCCCCACCUCCAGAGCUUGUUCAGGGAGGCCAGGUGGGAGGUGGGCAGGCUGCAGGAGGGGGUCCAGGCGCAGGGGCAGUACAAAGUCCCUGGGGCUGGGAAGCCUGUGCUGUUCAGAGUGGCGUCUCCGGGGUGGCCGGAAGGUCAGGAUGAAGGCUGAUGUGGCCGGUGCCUUGGCUUCCAGACCUUUCUGGAUGACAGCGGCUCCCUCAACUGGGAGAUCUACUACUGGAUUGGCGGGGAGGCCACACUCGACAAGAAAGCUUGCUCUGCCAUCCACGCUGUCAACUUGCGCAACUACCUGGGUGCUGAGUGCCGCACUGUCCGGGAGGAGAUGGGCGAUGAGAGCGAGGAGUUCCUGCAGGUGUUUGACAACGACAUCUCCUACAUUGAGGGUGGAACAGCCAGUGGCUUCUACACUGUGGAAGACACGCACUACGUCACCAGGAUGUAUCGUGUGUAUGGGAAAAAGAACAUCAAGUUGGAGCCUGUGCCCCUCAAGGGGACCUCUCUGGACCCAAG